UUUUUUAGUUGCUACUUAUGGGCACUUCUUGAAAUCCGCCACGGGAAGAUCACCAGGAUAUCCUCGCCGCUUUUUUGCAGCGUUCGCUCUCCUUGGCCCGGAUCUCUCCUCUCUUCUUUCUUCUCUGCGCCUCUCUUUCUCUCUCUUAGCUCUCUUCCCGUCUCCUCCACCAGCCUCCCGGAGAAAACCCUAGAUUUUCUCCCGUCGAGCCGUGGAGAUGGAAGGUCGCGCGCUUGAUCCGCUACCCGAAACACUUCUUCCCGGAUUCCAGAGGAAUUUCCAAGAACUGUGCUCGAAGAGCUCCCCCGAUCGUCAGCGCAGGGUUGGCGCCGACGCCGUCUCUCGCCGACGCCGCGGAGACCGAAGUAUUGUUUUGGAGACGUUCGCCAUGAAGCGGACCCAAACGGUCGAAGGGGAGAUAGCAGUGAGAUUGGAUCCGGAGGAGGGAGACGGAUCGAGAUGGUGGCUGGUGGUGGGGUGUAAUCUGGAAGGGAAGCGGGUUUUGCACUGGGGAGUCACCUAUUGUGAUGAACUGGGAAGUCUCUUGGCUCUAAUCUGCAUGCCAUGUGGCAUAACGGGAUAUGUGCAGUUUACGGGAAUUCAUGCGGUGUAUGGGGGUUGAUUGAAUGCUGAGUUGCCAAGCCAGCAAGGCAACCUUUUGUGCACUAACUGGUGCCCCAAAGCAUUUUCUGUUCACAGAUGGCUUUUCAAGACUUGUAUGAUCUAUUGGAUCCUCAAAGAUGAUUCAUACUAAUGCAAAUCCUUUUUCAUGAAGUAAACAUUUAAUUCACCUGGUACUUUUACCUUUUCCUUUGGAUGUAUUGCUUGAAACUUGCCGAUUGCUUGGAAUUAGUUCCUAAAUGUCGAUCCAUGGAAAGUGUUUAGUCUAAUCUGUAUGAGAUUUACUCUGUUUUGAUUGUUACAAGUCUACUUGCAAAGUUUCUUAAUGCCUGUUUGUUUCUUUUUAAUAUUUGAGUUGUCAAAUUUCUAAAUAUAGCUAUCCUUUGAAAAACUACAAUACUUAAGCGUGAGUAAAACCAUCAAGUUGUAAUUUUUUGUUUACUAAAAUCUAGCACAUGCUCUGCACAUAAAGGGUGAACAGAGGAAUGAAAGGGCAAAAAGCCGAUAACAUUAUGAAAGAUAUUUUUGUAAUUUUCUUAAAAGUGGAGUUGAGCACUCAGGUUGGAGUUGAACCAUGGACAUUGUUUAUAAUAUUAGUUUAUUUCAUACUUCUAUUAGAUGCUCUAUUGUUCAUCAUAAAGAUUUUCCAAGCAUCUAUCUAUUUUAUUGAUUUGUUGGGUGGUAUAUUAGCGAAUUAUCAUGAAAUGACUGCCUAAAUGGUUGCUUUUGGAUGCAGGGGCUGGGAACCUUUAGAAAAUGCCUACUAAAUGUCUGCACGAGACUUUUGACCACAUAUCUUGCUUGCUUCUGAAAGCUUUACGAUCUAGUUCUCAACCCAAGGAAUUGCCCAAAGUUACUUAGCGGCAGAAUAAGCACAUUCGUGGAUUUAUGAAGAAUAUUCUUUGUGAUGCUGGUAUACAUACCUGGUGAUGUUGUUGUUCACUGGGGAGUCUGUAAGGAUAAUGGCAGAAAACGGGAAAUCCCAUCUGCCCCUUAUCCUCCAGGAACCAAAAUUUUUCAGCAGAAGACCCUUUCAAACUUUGUUACAGGUGCACUAGAGAGGGACUGCAUUUUAUAUGUUUUAAGUUGCUGUCAAAAUUAUUUAUUUCAAAGGAUGCAUUUCUUGCUAAAGAUGUAAGGUUGCUCUACUAUUUGUACCAGAAUUCUUCUAAAGAAGAAAAAUUGCAAGUGUUACAGGAUCUGAUAUCAAGAAAUGAAUGCAAAAUGAAAGUUGUAAGCUACAUCAUGUUGAUGCUAAAUUUGGAAACUUCAAGAAACUAUAAUUGGAAAAAAAAGAAAUUAUUUGGAAAGCUGUGCAGUGUAAUAUAGCAUGAAUUCAUAAAGAACUUUGAAAUGACAUGGUGCAUCUUGGUUGUCAUUUCUGUUUGUGACAUUUUUUCCUUAUUUAUCAUUGAAAGAAGAAUGCAUAAGAUAUAAAGACCAAUAUUUUGUUUAUUGUUUUGCUUCAUAUGAUUAUGAUUAUGAGAUGGAAUAGGAAAAUUUGGCAAAUUAGGAUCAAUAAAGCCGCACUGAAAUAGUUGGGAGAAGGUUGAAUAUGAUUAUGAUUAAGAGAUAGAAAACAGUAUCCAUUUUGGAGGACUGGCCCUUUUGUAAGAUUUAGACCAAGGAGGAUAUGUAACUCUUGUUGGGUAUGAUUUCCAUACAUGUUGUAGUAGUAUAAUCAAGAUGCUCACAGGCAGAGAAUCAUUGAUUGGAUAAAUGCUACAAGUGGAACUGCUGGUGCCUUUGAUGUCACUACUAAAGGAAUCCUUCACACUGUAAGAUCUGUUGACUCUCUUUUCCUUAUCUUUUUAACAUCCCACUUUUCUCUUUUGAAGUCACAGCAGAUUUUACUCGUUAGAGAACUAUAACAUGCUUAUCUAUUGAAGCUCAUCUCAGCUCUGAGGCUGGCGGAUUAUGUGAUCCUAAUGCUGAAAACCAUUUCAUAUGGUCUAGAUCUUUUGCUAUUAUUUUGGUACUUAUACUGCUCUGACUUAAAUAAGGAACACUUAGAAGUUAUAUAAAUAAACAUUUCUAUAUUAUCAAUUAAAGAACAUAGAGAUAAUUUUUAAAAUUUAGUUGCUAGUUCUGCUGUCAUUUAUUCUUGCUGGGGAGCACUAACUUAAUGAUGCGACUGACAUGGAUUUACACAUUAGUCAAUCAUCAUAUGAGCAAGAUCAUUAUGUUGACCAGUCCAUCAACUUAUAUGAUAUUGAGCCUUAAAGCUUUUAAUGGGUAUUAAUGCCUAAAAUAUCUAUAGUUAUACUUUCAAUCUAACAUCUGUUUGUCUACUGUGCCCUAUUGGUAAAUGUGGAGCAUCAUUUUCUGAGAACUUGUGCUUUAACUUUCAAAUUUAUGCAAUGUCCUUGCUUGAAUGGUGCUUUAAAAUGCAAUAAAACUUCAUAAGAGUGGUGGGCAGUAUGACCAGGAUAGUCAAGUUGCUAUAUGAAGUGUCUCAGUCAAAUUUUGACUUAUAUUAAAACUGUUCACAGGGUUACAUUGAGUUUUGUAUUGCAAUAUUGCAUUUAGCUGUAAAUUGCGAUAUCCUUAUGACUGCACACAUCCAAACACAGAUGCACAAAAUGGUGAUGAUGAUGAUGAUGACAAGAUUAGUGCAUGCUCUUUAACUUUGUAUUUCUGGAUUUCAGCAUGACUGAUUCAUGGAAAGUUGGAAACUUCCGGUUAUCCUAGAAGUCUUUGUGAUGUCUUGGCCACAAAUGGGGGAAUGCCUAGGAUCUCUGAGAGUUCAGAAAUUUCCUGUGGAAACGGAGUUUCUUAGUGAACCACAAGAUGCUUUCUUCAUUUUUUGUAUGGAGAAUGCAUCUUAUGCUAUUUGAGAACUUAUCUUGGUGUUCAUCUCAUGCUUCUUGUUCUUCUAUCAAUUUUCCACACCCAUUUCCCAUAGUGGCAACUACCAAUACAUCUGAGUUCAAGUUAAGCUUAUAAUCAUUAAUUGCUUCAUAAAAAUGUCAUUCGGUCAAUUAUAACUUAACGGGCUAUUUUGUUCUUCUAGGACUUGGAAAUGUGCGAGUAUUGGCGAUUAUCUGAUCAAAAGGGGAAGCCACUUGGGGUUGUAGGUUGGUGGCCAUCUCAUGCAGUUACAUUUAUAGAGAAUCAUGAUACUGUCUCUACUAUGGGUCAUUGGAGAUUCCCAUCUGGUAAGGAGAUGCAAGGAUCAAGAUAACAAAGGCAGAGAGGGAUGUCUAUGCAGCUGAGAUUGGUGAGAAGAUUGCAGUCAAGAUUGGGCCAGGAUAUUAUGAGCCAUCAAGCAGUCCUAAGAAAUGGAGUUUGGCUGGUGAAGGAAGGAGGCAACUUGAAUUGUAUGUAGCAUCAACUCUAACCAAAUUAUUAGUUUAUUAUGAUUGACGUGUAAAGUUUAUAUCAAUCUUCAUCAUAUCUAGAGAACUUAUUCUUUAAAAGUUGUAUUCCAGUACUUUAUAAAACACCCCUUACCCGUGGGUGAAAUGAGAAUAAUUGAUAAGUAAUUUUCACA